rnacentral:lncRNA from 1 species
CAGACAGACAGACAGAGGGAGUCCUGGAUGAAUGGCAAACCCUUCAGAUUCUAAUUUGUUUCUCAAUCAGUUGCUUCCUCGUGUGAAAUGAGGGGACAGACAGCUGAUCUUUCUGAGCUGCCCAUGGCUGGGACCACUGCCUCCAUUCCCAACACCCUGCUGGGGACCCCGCCUUCCAAAGAACAUGCCCCAGGCACACAGGUGAGCUCCCGCCAUGCACUCCCCGUGAAAGGGAAGCCGUCUGGAGGCAGUGUGGCACCUGAAGACGCUGGAGCUGCUGCUGUCAGGGACACACGCCCUGCCCAUUCAUCUGCCUUCUGCGCCGGGAGCCCCCGCAGAUGCGGAAGAUGCAGGGAAUGAUUCAGCCCCAGCCUUAAGAAAAAGAGGCACUGAAGAAAAUGAGUAAAGAGGAGCAGAGUUUCUUUUUUCCUCCCAAGUGAAUCAUUGAAAGAAAACAUCAAAUAGCAAAUGAAUAGCAUCAUAAGAAGUCAAGAGAAAGACCAUGGAAGAAAGAAGAAACUUUAACAGCGCUUUUUUCAUGAUCUUUGAACAAGGAGCUCUAAAUUAUCAUUUUGCACUGGCUCUGUCCCAGCUCAUGUUUGUUGAGUGAAUAAAUAAAUAAAUAAAUGCAUACAUACAUAUUUAUUAGUACAUGGAACACACUGAUUAUCUUCCAUUUCCUAACAACACUGUAUGUAAUCAGGAUUGCAGGCAUGUUAUGAAAUACUAGAAUAGCUGAAUAUUAAAAUUAUUCUGGAAUCA